rnacentral:misc_RNA from 1 species
GGUCUGAAUUUCCAUAUUUAUAGAACAUCAGAAACAGCAGAAUAAUGCACUUGAUAUACCCAUGAAAGCAAAAUACAAGGAAUAAUAUUCUCCAUAUAAAAUUAUGCAAUGAUGAUAGUUACGGUAAAUUGGUCAAGAAGUACAGUACGUGCACAAAACAGGGAUGCAACAUCCAACAUCUUCUCAUUAUUGUGAACAGGCACCAGUUUUUUGGUCCCUCCAAUCUGGUUCAUUCUUGCUCAGGGACUAAUUGAGUUCUUCCACUUUCAGGGGACAUGCUAAAGGGUGGUACAGUAAAACAAUUUUAAAGAUGCAGAAAAAGAUUUAGGGGGACGCAACAGGCCAUGGAUUUGGUAAGUUGAAGAGAAGAAAAAACACAAGUUCUGCAAUAAUUUCACAAAUAAAAAUCUAGGGACAAAACAAAAAAAAUCAUAUUCAUAUAGAAAAGAUGAGAAAUAUAUUGUGAUACAUUCAGACCUUGUGCACUGAAUACACCGAGUCAUCACUGUCUUCACC